rnacentral:misc_RNA from 1 species
AACGCACAUUGCGCCCGGUGGUAUUCCGCCGGGCACGCCUGUCCGAGCGUCAUUGCAACAAUCAAGCCUCGCUUGGUGUUGGGGGCUCGUCGCGCCUGGCGCGACCCCCCCGGAACCCGUUGGCGGUGGCCCUCUGCCCCGAUCGUCGCGCAUGUUACGACGGAGCAGCGGGUCGCCCGCCGAACCCCCCCCAUGACGCUAUGUUUGACCUCGGAUCAGGCGGGGAUACCCGCUGAACUUAA